GACAGAGGGGGCGAGCGUUGUCCGGAGUCACUGGGCGUAAAGGGCGCGUAGGCGGGUUAGCAAGUCAGAGGUGAAAUACUACAGCUUAACUGUAGAACUGCCUUUGAAACUGCUAAUCUUGAGUGCGGAAGAGAGAGACGGAAUUCCAGGUGUAGCGGUGAAAUGCGUAGAUAUCUGGAGGAACACCAGUAGCGAAGGCGGUCUCUUGGUCCGUUACUGACGCUCAGGCGCGAAAGCGUGGGGAGCAAACAGG
rnacentral:rRNA from 1 species